AUUCAACAUCUAGAAACUUGAUUAUCAGAUAUUCAUGAUCACAAGGUCGGUGGGUUUGAAUUCAAUGUAUCCAGCUUAAUUUGAAACUUGUGAUUUCAGUGCAAAAUCUCAACUGUUCAUAUUUAAUUAGUUCCUGCUUGAUUUAGUUUAGGACCACACUAAAAGAUGUUGACUUUGAAAUUAGGUUUAGGAUCAACGGAAGAGACAGUCUCUUGAAUCCAACCUUGAGGCCGGGAAGGCAUUCAUCUAACUCUUCGUCAGUGUAUGGCACUUGUUGGAAAUCAAGGUCGGGGAAGACGCGACCAGACAUGUGAAUACAAUGAUGAAAUUCUUCAGUCAGGUAGAACUGUUGAGAAGCCUAGAGUUUGGUGAGAAGUUGAGUAUUCACGUUUGUAAGUUGAGCAUUGGAAUCCUAGCCUUACUAGCACAAAGGUCGGUGAGCAAUUGAGCAUUCACAGAUGUA
rnacentral:lncRNA from 1 species